AUCUAUAUAGUAUAAAUAUUACAUUUGAUUUCCAAUCAAAAAAUCUUUUAAAAGUAUAGAUA
rnacentral:tRNA from 1 species